rnacentral:rRNA from 1 species
CGGGUGGUAAUGCCGGAUGCUCCAGUUGAUCGCAUGGUCUUCUGGGAAAGCCUUUGCGGCAUGGGAUGGGGUCGCGUCCUAUCAGCUUGAUGGCGGGGUAACGGCCCACCAUGGCUUCGACGGGUAGCCGGCCUGAGAGGGCGACCGGCCACAUUGGGACUGAGAUACGGCCCAGACUCCUACGGGAGGCAGCAGUGGGGAAUAUUGCACAAUGGGCGCAAGCCUGAUGCAGCGACGCCGCGUGAGGGAUGGAGGCCUUCGGGUUGUAAACCUCUUUUGUUAGGGAGCAAGGCAUUUUGUGUUGAGUGUACCUUUCGAAUAAGCACCGGCUAACUACGUGCCAGCAGCCGCGGUAAUACGUAGGGUGCAAGCGUUAUCCGGAAUUAUUGGGCGUAAAGGGCUCGUAGGCGGUUCGUCGCGUCCGGUGUGAAAGUCCAUCGCUUAACGGUGGAUCCGCGCCGGGUACGGGCGGGCUUGAGUGCGGUAGGGGAGACUGGAAUUCCCGGUGUAACGGUGGAAUGUGUAGAUAUCG